GAUGAACGCUGGCGGCGUGCUUAACACAUGCAAGUCGAGCGAGUGAGUUCUUCGGAACGAUCUAGCGGCGGACGGGUGAGUAACACGUGGGCAACCUGCCUCAUAGAGGGGAAUAGCCUCCCGAAAGGGAGAUUAAUAUCGCAUAAAAUUAUCGAGUGGCAUCACAUGAUAAUCAAAGGAGUAAUCCGCUAUGAGAUGGGCCCGCGGCGCAUUAGCUAGUUGGUGAGGUAACGGCUCACCAAGGCGACGAUGCGUAGCCGACCUGAGAGGGUGAUCGGCCACAUUGGGACUGAGACACGGCCCAGACUCCUACGGGAGGCAGCAGUGGGGAAUAUUGCACAAUGGGGGAAACCCUGAUGCAGCAACGCCGCGUGAGUGAUGAAGGUCUUCGGAUUGUAAAGCUCUGUCUUUGGGGACGAUAAUGACGGUACCCAAGGAGGAAGCCACGGCUAACUACGUGCCAGCCGCCGCGGUAACAC
rnacentral:rRNA from 1 species